rnacentral:lncRNA from 1 species
AUGGUAGAAAAUAGUUAUAAAUCUUCUGGAAGCUUGAAGUACGUUCUUGAGAAGUAGGAAGGAAUAUAAGUAUAGCCAAUGAGGAAGUGAUGUGGAAGUAAAGCAUAUCCAAAGAAGAAAAAGCACGUUUAAAAUGUGAGCCAGGAAGUUGAGCAAAAGUAGAAAGUGGAGAGAAAUGAAGCCGGGAAGUUGAGAAGAGUAAGGAAGUGGAGCAAGGAAGUUACAUCCUUAUCAAUAUGUGCAAAAUAUGAAAAGCAAUUGUACGUGCCCUCAAGGUGGAGAGUUAAUUGAGGACCAAGCGAACAAUAAGAAUAUACAAAAAUAUCUCUCAAGCCACGA